UUUUAUAUUUACAUGUGUUUUUGGUGAUGGUGAAUAUUGAGCUUUCAUUUCCAUGUUUAAGACCACUUUGAGCAUUUCCUGUUGUACUGAUAUAGUGUUGACAAAUUCACUCAGCAUUUCCUUGUCUAGGAAAAACUUUCCUCUUCAUUUAUGAAGCUUAUUCUGGCAGGAUACAAAAUUCUUGGCUGACUAAUAACAUUUUAAGCAUAUAGAAAAUACACAAAGUAAUGUAAUAAACCUGCCACGCAGCCUCCACAGGUACUAAUCAUGUGCCAUUUUUGUUUCAUCUAUAUUUCAACCCACUCCUCACCCCUCGCAACUGUUUUAUUAUUUUAGGGUUUGUGUGUGUGUGUGUGUGUGUGAGACAAAAUGUACAUACAUUAAAAGAAUCUUAACUGUACCCUUUUGAGAAAACAGUACAUCCAUAUAAACUUCCUCCUUCUAAGAAUAAAAUUCCCGGCCAGGUGCAGUGGCUCACGCCUGUAAUCCCAGCACUUUGGGAGGCCGAGGCGGCCGGAUCACCUGAGGUCAGGAGUUCGAGAUUAGCCUGGUUAACAGGGUGAAGCCGCGUCUCCACUAAAAAUACAAAAAUUAGGCUGGUGUGGUGGCGCAUGCCUGUAAUCUCGGCUACCCAAGAGGCUGAGGCAGGAGAAUCGCUGGAACCCAGGAGAUGGAGGCUGCAGUAAGCCGAGAUCGUGCCACUGCACUCCAGCCUGGGUGACACAGCGAGACUCUGUCUCAAAAAUAACAUCAUAUGGAACAGGUGACAUCCAAAUAUGUUAAGAACCUCUGACAAUGAAAAGUAAAACACAAACUCAAUUUUAAAAGGCACAGGACCUAUGAAAACAUUUUAUGGUAAAAGAAAUACAAAUGGUCAUUUCCCACAUAAAGAUGCAUCUAACCUCAAUGGUGGUCGCAGGAAAAUAAAUUACAAAAAAAAAUGUUUUGUGUGACCAUCAGUUAGGAAAAUUAAAUGCUUCCUACUAAUCUUUUCAUGAUAAGUAAAAACAUACUAGCCAGGCAUGGUGGCUCAUGCCUGUAUUCUCAGCAUGUGGGGAAGCUGAGGCAGAAGGAUACCUUAAGCUCAGGAGUUUGAGGCUACAAUGAGCUAUGAUCAUGCACUCCAGCCUGGGUAACAGAGGGUGAGACCCUGUUUCUAAAUAAAUAAAUAAAUGAGUGCAUGAGUGAACAUACAUACAUACAUACAUAUACACAGACUGUUUUAGCAAUUGAGCAGAAAACGAGCGGGGGAAAUACCCUCAGAGUAAUAAGAUUAUCUCAUUACGCUGAAGUUUUGCUGAUGCUUCAAGUUUCCUGGGUAAGUUUUGCGAAGCAUCUUUCUCUGAAAAUCUUCUUGCUGCAGAACAAACCAUGUUUAGUGUCUGUAUAUGUCUCAACUUCCUGUCCCCACCUGGGGGAUGGGAAAAAGGACACGGUCCUUGCUUGUGUUUUGGAGUGAAAGAAGCAUUAAAGGUCUUGCAAACUUUA
rnacentral:sRNA from 1 species